rnacentral:rRNA from 1 species
CGCAANGCUUGGCGGCGAUGCCCUNAUCGAUGNGAGUUCUCNANCAACCUCUGGGUNNUNAUUGGUGCUUGCUUNCNUGUGUUUACAUUUGAGUGAGUGGCGAACUGGUGAGUAACACGUGGGAAACCUGCCCAGAAGCGGGGGAUAACACCUGGAAACAGAUGCUAAUACCGCAUAACAACUUGGCCCGCAUGGUCCGAGCUUGAAAGAUGGCUUCGGCUAUCACUUUUGGAUGGUCCCGCGGCGUAUUAGCUAGAUGGUGGGGUAACGGCUCACCAUGGCAAUGAUACGUAGCCGACCUGAGAGGGUAAUCGGCCACAUUGGGACUGAGACACGGCCCAAACUCCUACGGGAGGCAGCAGUAGGGAAUCUUCCACAAUGGACGAAAGUCUGAUGGAGCAACGCCGCGUGAGUGAAGAAGGGUUUCGGCUCGUAAAACUCUGUUGUUAAAGAAGAACAUAUCUGAGAGUAACUGUUCAGGUAUUGACGGUAUUUAACCAGAAAGCCACGGCUAACUACGUNNCCAGCAGCCA